CUUCCAGUAGCACCUUAGAGACCAACUAAGUUUGUUAUUGGUAUGUGCACACGAAAGCUCAUACCAAUAACAAACUUAGUUGGUCUCUAAGAUACUACUGGAAG